UACAGAGGUGGCGAAUGUUGUUCGGAUUUACUGGGCGUAAAGCGAUUGUAGGCGGUUAGGAAAGUUAGAUGUGAAAGCCCCGGGCUCAACCCGGGAAUUGCAUUUAAAACUCCCUAGCUUGAAUUAUGGAGAGGUUGACGGAAUUCCGAGUGUAGAGGUGAAAUUCGUAGAUAUUCGGAGGAACAUCAGUUGCGAAGGCGGUUGACUGGCCAUAUAUUGACGCUGAGAAUCGAAAGCGUGGGGAGCAAACAGG
rnacentral:rRNA from 1 species